rnacentral:lncRNA from 1 species
UUCAGCUGUUCGGGGGACUCGUCUGGAUUCUGGUUGCCUCCUCCAACGUUCCUCUACCUCUGCUACAAGGAUGGGUCAUGUUCGUGUCCGUGACGGCUUUUAUCUUUUCCCUCCUCUUCCUGGGCGUGUUCCUCUCUGGCAUGGUGACUCAGAUUGAUGCCAACUGGAACUUCCUGGUAAGGGAUUUUUAAGUCUAUUUCAGGAAAAUGAGAGAGACGUAUAAAUAUCUUAUUCUGUCCUGAAAUGCCUGAUCCCCUCUUCGAUCCCCAGUGAGAGAGAGAGGUCUGACCACCGGGUCUGCUGUGCUAGUGCCUUGCUGGACAGCAGGGUCCCUCUUUGUGAAGUUUCUGUCAAUAGAGCCGAGCAAUCUGUUACUCCUUUAUGAGUUAGGUGACCUUUACUCAAAGACUCUUUUAUUUCGUACAGUAAAUGAAUUGCAUUACAGUUAUUGAACUAUCGAAGAGAUGCUUUUGGGGGAUGGAUGCUAUGACAUACAUCUUGAAAUUUUCCAUUGAUUUCUGCUUCAGAUAUUAAAUAUAUAUAUCCUUUUCAGAAAACAAGGAGCGAUAUAUUCUCUUCUCUAAAUACUUACAAAAGGGGAUAGUUUGUAUUUAUUUUUAAUUCCUGUCCUAAAUUAUUAAGAAUUGGUCAAUUUUAAGAGAUGAAUUUACAAUCAACAUAACUUUAAAAAUUAUGACACCAUUAAAUUGGAUCCACUUACUUUCCCUUUUCCCAUAUAACAUAGGGGUCCUUUUUCAUGCUUAUGCUUAUUCAUUCUCUGGGACUAUUUCAUAAUGGCCAGUGGAGGUUGAAUUCCAAUCAGUUGGUAGUUAGAAAUUUAAAUCAAGCCUUAAAUCAGGCUUAUAUUGUUCCUUUCAAGUAUGGUAACAUUGUAUUCAUCAGCUUUAGGACAGAGGCUAGGCAUAUUAAAAAAAUGUUGUUUGUUACAGAGUCUUAGAAGAACCAUCAUCCCAAAUGUUACUAGCAGUGAAGUCUAGUGAAUGUGGCUGCCCAUUAACCCAGCCCAGGGGCAAAUGGUUAGUGUAAAAAGUUAAGGAGGAAGUGUGGUACAGUGGUUAUAAUCCUGCACAGGCUUUGAACUUAAGUCUGGUUUGCUUAAUAACUAUGUAGCCUUGGGCAAAAUAUUGAACCUCUUUGGCUUUCAAUUUCUUCCUCUGUAAAAUGGUAAUAAUGAUACCUACCUCCCUUAGAUGCCGUUAAGGAAUAAUGGCAUGAAUGCAUUCUAAAGCGCUCAUCAGCUUUGUGAUUUAUAGUAAGUGAUCAGCAAUUGUCAUAAUUCCAUAAAUACACAAGGCUUGCAGUUUGAAACUUUAAAAGCCCUUCUGUUGAGGGAUGCCUUGGUGGUUUAGUCGGUUAAGCAUCCGAAUUCGGCUCAGGUCAUGAUCUCAUGGUUUGUGUGUUCGAGCCCCACGUCAGGCUCUGUGCUGACACCUCAGAGCCUGGAGCCUACUUCACGUCCUGUGUCUUCCUCCAUCUCUGCCCCUUCCACUCAUGCUGUGUCUCUCAAAAAUAAAUAAAUGGUAAAAAGAGGAAGAAGAAGAAGAAGAAGAAGAAGAAGAAGAAGAAGAAGAAGAAGAAAUAAAAAUAAAUAAAAGCCCUUCUGUUGAAUUACUAAAUUGUACACCUGAAACUAAUGUUAUACCGUAUGUUAACUAACUGGAAUUUAAAUAAAGACUUAAGAAAAAAACAUAUUCUCAUUCUCUCUCUGUCUCUCUCUGUCUCUCUGUCUCUGUCUCUCUCUCUCUCUCUCUCUCUCUCUCUCUCUCUCUCUCACACACACACACACACACACACACACACACACACACAGGAAGUCCUGUUUCUGAGGUUGCUGCUGCAGUGUGUUCCUACAUUUUUGCCUUGAUUUCUCAUUAAUGAUGAGAAAAUAUUUCUAAUAAAUGGUCAAGUGAUGAAGAUCAGAAAUAUCAGUCUAAGUUAUAGAUAGACACUUAAUCUCCUCUCCCUAAUUGCCUGGCUUUCCUGUAAUAAUGUAUGAAUGAACCAUCUAUACCUAACAUUGGUACAGCAGCAGCCUCUUUUAGUAUUAGGUUCAAAGAUGGUGUUUGGCCACCAUGUACCAGUAUAGCCUUCAGUCCUAGCUAAUACACAGUCACUGCUGCCACCCUGCUACCUCUUCCCCAGUGCUGUGCUCCCCAUCAUCCUGGCCCUUCCUCUGGGACUUUCCCGGACUGCCGAGUAGCUCAGCAACUAAAAGGUUAAUGCCUGGAAAGGUAGUGAGUCUCCAGGAGCCUGCACUGCCCAGCGUUCCUUCUAACUGGUUGAUGCACAUGCUGUACCAAUCUUUAAAUGUUUUGCCAACAUCACUCCUGGUUUUAUUAGACAUACAAUCUUUUUUUCAUUUAUUUAAUUUAUUUUCAAAUUUUAUUCAGAUUCUAGUUAGUUAACAUAUAGUACAAUAUUGGUUUCAGGAGUAGAAUUCAGUGAUUCAUCACUUGCAUACAACACCCCGGCUCAUCAUAACUAGUGCCCUCCUAAUACCCAUCACCCAUCUAGUCCAAAAAAACAAAUAAUCCAGAUAUGAAAAGGACAGAAGACAUGAAUAGAAAGUUUUCCAAAGAAGACCUCUGGAUGGCUGACAGACACAUGAAAAGAUGCUCAACAUCACUCAUCAUCAGGGAAAUACAAACCAAAACCACGAUGAGGUACCACCUCCCACCUGUCAGAAUGGCUAACAUUAACAAUACAGAAAAUAACAGGUGUUGGCAAGGAUGUGGAGAAAGGGGAGCUCUCUUGCACUGUUGUUGGGAAUGCAAACUGGUACAGCCACUCUGGGGAAUAGUAUGGAAGUUCCUCAAAAAGUUAAAAAUAGACUACCCUAUGAUCCAGAAUUGCACUACUAGGUAUUUAACCCAAAGGAUACAAAAAUACAGAUUCAAAGGGGUAUGCACUCUGAUGUUUAGAGCAGCAUUGUCAACAAUAGCCAAACUAUAUAAACAGCCCAAAUGUCCAUCAGCUGAUGAAAGGGUAAAGAAAAGGUGGUAUAUAUACACAAUGGAAUAUUACUCAGCCUUCAGAAAGAAUGAAAUCUUGCCAUUUGCAACAGCAUGGAUGGAGCUAGUGUGUAUUAUGGUAAGUGAGAGAAGUCAGAGAAUGACAAAUCCCGUAUGAUUUCACUCAUAUGUGGAAUUUAAGAAACAAAAUAGAUGAACAUAUGGGAUGGGGGUGGGGAGGGGAGAAAGAGGGAAACAAACCAUGAAAUACUUGUAAACAUCUGUUUUCCUUUUGUUUAUAUUGAGUCUAAUUUUUGAUAUUGAGUACGUUGUUAAUAUUCUUAUAAAUGUAUUAGGUUUCCUAAACUUGUGUUCCUCCCCCCGAGCUGUAACGUUAUAUCUGUUGUUUGGGCAAUAAAAUGUAAGAGUGGGUUUUGGUUUUUUGGUUUUUUGUUUUUCCUAAUUAAACCACUUUAUGGAAGGGGCCGUUGAAAUUGGAAGACCUCCCAGUCUGUUGCAUGGUCCCCUGCAGAGUGUAUCCUGUGGUUUUCUUAGCUGCGGCCGUCCACUCUGAGGGAGCGAACGGUGGUGGCCACACACAGCACACGGUGCAGCGGGGUCACUGCGCAGCCUGGUGACGGCAGCCACGUUUUACAAGACCUGGCUCACGCCUUCAAGGAGCAGACUUAAACACUUGCCAUGUUUCCAGAGGGCCCCUUUUGUUUCUCCUCUUGUGUGAUUUUCUACAUAAUCAGUCAUUUUUUGACCACAUGGCUGCUUUUGGUGGGUUUCGUAACCUAUGUUGUGUACUCCUAGCCAGAAAGAGUUUUGAGCCAAACGUACUGUGGGAGUUGCCACCAGAUGGUAACAACUUUUAAUUGCUGUGUUCUGGAACUGUUAGACAUUAACUGCUCAAAAGAUAAUCAUUUCCCCCAGUGGUGACAGUUUAAUGCUACCUGCAUACAAUGCACAAAGGAAGCAGAAAUACAUUUUGAUGAAGAAUUUAUUUUCUAAAAGUAUUUGUUGUGGGAUAUUGACUAAAAUAUUCGUAGCUUCUAACUGCUGUUGAUCAUGAGAUUGAGUUAACAUCUGUGGUGGUAGAUGUCCUCAGUAUUUUUCCCCAAGCUUUCUAGCUUCGGUAUAAAUGAUGAAAUAAAAAUAUAAUAUGUAAUAUAUGUAAUAACCUAUAUUAAAUGCGAAAAACUUGCCCUAUUCUGAGAAAAGAAGCAGGUUUUCAUUUUGAAAUGGUUUUUCUGUACCCUGUGUGUGUGUGCGUGUGCGUGUGUGUGUGUGUGUGUGUGUGUAGAGGAAAUAACACCAUUCUGUCUAACUUUAAACAAGGGAUACCAUACUUAUUUUCCACUUUUGGAGAGGAGGGGUGUGAAGGAAAGAUAUAUUUUAGGAAAAUAAAAGCUACAAAAAGAAGUCCUGUACAAUUAAACAAAUUCACUUUAUUCCCCCAACACAAUUGACCCACAUUUGCCCAUUAUGGACAUCACUUAAUACUGUGAAUGUCUUGAUCUGUAUUUUCUGCCCUGACACUUCAUUUACUUAUUUGAUCUUUAGGUCGAUUCCUAUGGGACACCAUUUUCUCAUUUUUUCAGAUGAGAAAGCUGAGGCUCUGUGUGGCCAUCACCCCUUUUCACGCUGCCGUUGCAGAAACCAGGAUUCCCCUAUUUAUGAUGUAGCUUUUUUUUUAACUAGUAAAAAUUUCACCUUGAAGUGUGGAGCAAAACAUGGGCUUAAGAUAAGAAUAUGGGGGGGGGGGGGUGUCAUUUGUUGCUGAAAAAAAUCAAGCUAUGCUUGAGGCCAUUUACCUGAGCAAAAGGUGAAGACAAGUGGGCGGCACUCUGGGGUGUAUGAAUAUUGGAAAGUUUGGCAGGAGAGCAAGGGUAUGCAAAGGAGACUCAAAGAGGACGGGGCCAUCUGCUGAUGGGGACGUGCCAAGGACUCAGGACAGGUGGUUCCCAAAGGGUGGUCCCUGACCAGCCGCAGCAGCGUCAACCUGGGAACUUGGUAGAAUGUAAACUCUCCCAUCCUACCCAGACCUACUGAGUCAGGAACUCAGAAGGUGGGGCCCCAUAGUUUGUGUUUUAACAAGCUUUUCAGAUGAUUCUGAGGCAUGCUUACCUUUGAGAACCACUGGUUUUGCAUAAACAAUCUGCGUUGUCCAGAACGAGCAAAACGUGUGGAAGACCUUCUUGCACACAUUCCACACAGAACAGGAGUUGGAAUAAGAUGACGAGGAUGGCCAAAUCCAGUGGUGGGGGAUCUUUACUGAGCACCUAAUAUGUAUGUGGCCCUAUCCUAGACCCUAGCAAUAGAGUGGUGAACAAGACAGGCCUGCAGUGGCUCUCAGAGUUUGUUGUAGCAGGCAGUGGCAUUAAAGAAAUGAUUACACGAUUGAUGCAUUAAUCAAAAUGAUGUUAAUGGCCAAGCAGGGAAUGCUCAGGGUACUAGAAGAACAUAUCUGUCAUCUCGGGUCCACUGGGAAGCAGACUGUAAGAUGGAUUUAAAAGUGCAAGAAUUUUUUUCUUUUUUUUUUUUAGAAGGAGGGGAAGAGAUAACACCUGUCAAAGGUAAUGGGCAAGGAAGUAGGAUAAAGCAGGAAAGUCUUAGCGUGGGAUGUAGAUUGGCAGUCUUGGCCAAAUUAAUGAGAAGCUGAAGAGCACAGUCCUUCCUUCAAAAGUCUUGUAUUGGGCAAAAGUGGCCAGGCACCCAGCAUCCCCACUGGAGCAUCAUUAGCUGGGGGCUGCCGGGAGGAAUGUGGCAUUGGCUGAAACACAGCAGUAGGUCCCCAACCCACUGAAGCCGGAGCUGUCAGCUAAUGCCAGGUUCUUUCUUAACGGGGAAUGCGUGCAGUGCGUGAUUACAGAGGCUACUGUCCACUUCUUGCACCGGUGGACCCACUUCUCUGUGUCGGAGGAACUGCUCCUCCAAGGUUCUCUUCCUGAGUGAGGACUUAGGCCAGAUGGACAAAGCACAGCCCCUCUAACUGGCGUUGGUCUCAGGGCCACAACCGGUGCCCAUCAUCUCCCUCCUCCACGAGCCGUCUUACUGCCCUUGCUCGACACUCAGGUCUGCUGGUCUCGGUGGUUUACCUGGCGGUGUCAUCCAAACCCUCCUUCCUGAGGGUGGCUGAGCCCCUGGUAACCAUAUCCUUGUUUUCCUGCAGCUGUCCAUUUUUAGUCCCAACCGGGCAUGAGAGUUCCAAGAGCAAGAUCACCUGAGUUCCACAUGCACUGCCCUCCUAUGUAUCUGCAGCCUUCCCUUCCCUUGAUGAUACGGGCAAGCUACCCUUGUCAGGAUGGUGAUUCCUUCUCUUGCCUUUUGUUCCCCAAAUUCACAGGCAGGCAGCAUAGCUUAUAGCUCAGUGGGACCCUUGCUGUAUCCUCCAGCAGGAGUAUACCCUUUGGGGGACCAGGGCCUCUGGACAUGCAGAGCUCAGAGUCGCAGGGGCAGCAAUCACAAAGUCAUCAGGUUAUUGGGAGUAAUAGUAAGUGGAGAAAUUCCUGCUUCUACCCCUCGUUUCCCGUUCUUUCAGUGGGGAUAUAACACCAUGUAGAAAACUCAUGUGCCCUAUACCUACCGCAUCCCAAAAGAUGGCCACACGUUCUGCAAACUGUGCCUUUAGCCAGUCAUUCCGUCAUGCUCUCAGGCCAGCAGCUUCUAAAUGGUGCACUAUGAUACAACUCAUGGUCAUGGGCCCAUUCCCACUCUUCCUGUGCUGAGAAGUUGGUCGUUUGGUCACAUGCUCUGUUGAGUAGAUGCCUGUGAAUCAGGCAUUCUGCAAGUCCCUGUAUAGCGGUGGUGGCUGAGGCUUUCAGGAAAGGAAUAGCUAAUACAAACUCAAAAUGAGUGUUUGAUUUAUGAGAAUAAACCAUAUGCCUUCCAGGAAGCUAGGAGCCCAGUUUCAUCAAUUUGCUACCAGGUAAGGAUUGUGCUAUAUCAAAGUCUCAGUUAGUCUCUGCUGUUGGCAGGUUCAACAUUCAGAAGAGGCAGUAAUUAAAUCAGCUUUUGGCGAUUGGAAGUCAAUGCUACUGGGCGUUACAUAGCCUCCUUCUCCCAACUAUGGUCAUUCUGCUCUUGGGCCCAUAAUGCCAGUAAUCAGGUGGCUGGUGACAAAGCCUGGCUUGCAUCAACUGGCUGGGCCAUUUUUCUGUGUGUCAUUCCAUGCCUGGAUGCUGCUGGUGGGCAUCACCAUGUGACAGACAGAUCGCACUUCACACCAAAUCCCAUAUGUCCAUCUCCCUGCUCCGUACUUCCUUGUCUCAGAACUUUCAGUCUUUUAUUCUCCCAGGGCCCUGACCAUUACCACUGACCAUGAGUCUCUGUAUAUCCUCACUCUGGGCCACUUUGUUUUCCAAACAAAGUACAUGGCAUAAUGCACCAUUCACAGUUCAACCCAUUAGGAAAAUAUUCCCUAACCACUGUCUUUCAAAGCCAACCCUGACUGUGGCUACAGUGCACAUAUGAUACAGCCACUGUCCCUUGUCACCUUGCAGCCACGAAUCAUGCCACCAUAAAGAAGCGCAGGUGUUUUCUUUCUCCUUCAGCUAGACAUAAGGGAACCCCUCCUUCAUGUGGCCACAAGUGAGUGAGGAAGGGGGACAGUUCCAUUGUGGUAGGUGAUUGGGGGUUCAGGCUAGCACCUGAUGUGCCCUCUAGCCCGGCUCAGAUUGAUCUCUGAUGUGCCACCCCAUCUUAAGGAUUGCUGUUGACCUGUUUGACUUACUGGGUGGUAGUUUUGACAGAAUUCCGUUCAUGGUGGGACGUUCUGAAUACUUAGUCCUUGGUGUCUCAAGUCAAAAUGCUCCUUCUCCACGUGGGCCCCAUAGAACAUCAGGAGCAACUUGCUUUACAAGGACAUGUAACCCCUUACUGCAGGUUACCUGCCUGACUCUAGAACUCCAAGCGCCUGCGUGGUGAUUUUCUCUCCAGUGUUGCCAUGAAUUCAAAUCUUUUCCUCCAACACCUUAGGGUACAUGUGGCCCUAGAAUAAUAUGGGUAGCUGGACAGCAUGGCCUAAGCCAAACAGAGUUAGGAGUGCACGAAGUUUACUGGAUGGUUAACACCAUGAAAGAUGAAAAGGGAAGGAACAGGGUUGGACACCACAGGUCAAUUCUGAUACUCCUGAAAAGGAGGGAGAAGGUAAAAUUAGACAAGAAUAGGAAGUUGGUGGGAGGUGGGGAAGGGUGCAAGUGGUAAUUGGUUGUGGGAAGAGUCUCUCCAGCCACACAAUACUGUGUGUAAGGAGCAUCAGCCUUGAGGCAUAGAGUGCUUCCUAGCACCAAAGGCCACCACCUUGAGGCCGAAGUGGCCGAUAUUCAGAGAUGUGAGGGUGGCAGGAGAUGAGGUUGGUGAAGAUGAUGAAGGCCGCAUCGGACCAAGAGUGGCAGGCCAUGUCACCAAACUCCUCACCUCUUCAAGGUAACGUGAGCUGCUCCUGAGGAUCCACCGCAGUAAAUUAGUUGAGUGCCUAAUGAUCUCAAACAUACCCUCUCAAUCUUUGUGACUAAUUGAGAUCCAGCUCUACUAUUUUUAAUCCCUAAAAGUAGUCACAUGUGGACUUUCAUCAAUUAACAUUGUUGAAUAACUACAUAUCUCUGAGCAUUUCUCCUCUGGACUAAACACGUGGUCAGUAUGUAACACUGUUCUUAAAACUUUUGAAGGCACUGGUGAGUUAGCUUAUGAAUUAGGUGUUCAGUAGAAAGAAUUUUUAGCGUGUACCUUUAAUUCUCACUCCUGAUGAGUUAACUUUUCCUUAUUAUUCUAGGCAGGGUAAGAACAAUUCCUAUGGAUAAUUUUGUUUGCUGAAUGGGCAUUUACAAAGGCAGAGCUGUGUUCUUUCUCUGUAACGUUGCUGUAUCAGUAAUAGACCAUGUGAUAGAGGAAAGAAAGUGGACUUUGGAACCAGACAGACUUAUGUGGCUUUGAGUUCUCCUUUCAGAAGUUCAUCUUUGUAUGAUUUUAGAACAGUUAUUUAAUUAGGGGUGCCUGGAUGGCUCAGAUGGUUGAGCAUCAGACUUGGGCUUGGGUCAUGAUCUCACAGUUCGAGGGUUCGAGUGCCAUGUCAGUCUCUGUGCUGACAACUCAGAGCCUGGAGCCUGCUUCGGAUUCUGUGUCUCCCUCUCUCUCUGCCCCGCCCCUGCUUAUGCGCGGUCUGUCUGUCUCUGUCUCUCUCUCUCUCAAAAAUAAAUAAACAUUAAAAAAAAUUGUUUUUAAAGAACAUUUAGUUAAUUAAAAAAAACAAAAAAUUACUUGUUUGCAAAAUGGGAAUAAUAAAUGGUAGUUGUAAGGAUGGAUGAUAAUGAGUGUAAAGUACCUGGUAUCUGGGAGCUGCUGACAGACACACACAGCAGUGUGUUGAUGGAUGUCAUCAGUUCACGUAAGAUGAUGUGAAUUCCAGUAGAGUCGCGCCUCACAAUGCCAGCAAUGUACGAAAUCACCUGAUGACAGUCAACUUUUGUAUGAGAAGUUCCUGUACUUUUUGUAGAAGCCUAUGAUAUAAUAUUUGCUUUUUUAGAAUAUCAGGAGAUACGUUAUUGAAUUCUGUGAUGUCAUAGGUCGUCUGCAUUUUUCAGUGUAUGAGGUGACAGUCUCGUGGAUGAAAAUCACAAUUGCUCAGAAAUAAAAGACUUAAUUAUAAAUGUGUGUAUAUUAUUACAUAACUGUAUAAUGUACUACAGUAAUAUUAUCUAGUAACUAUAAGAACAAGGUGUAAUUUUUUUAAGUUUAUUAUUUAUUUUGAGAGAGAGAGAGUGUGUGCGUGAGUGCGGGAGGGACAGAGAGAGGGAGAGAGAAUUCCAAGCAGGCUCUGCACUGUCAGCACAGAGCCCGGUCGGGGGCUCAAACUCACACACUGUAAGAUCAUGACCUGAGCCAAAACCAAGAGUCGGAUGCUUAACGGACUGAGCCACCCAGAUGCUUCAAACAAGGUGUAAUUUAAAUGUUGUUUUACUUGAAUUUUAGGAACAGCAUACGUUAUUCCUUUUUUAUGUUAAUAUUGAUCUCUGUGGCACCUUACCCUAUGCUGAAAUUACAUAUUUUACUGGAAAAUUUAGUGUAGCAGAAGGUUUGCCACUACCGAUUACGGUGAGUCGGUUGAUUUUCCUUUGGAUUUUGAUAGCUUGACGUUGCUCAAGCAGCCAAAGUAAAUGGUGAGUAUGGUGAAGGAUUGACUACAUGUUCUAACCUUCCUGAACCUAAACCUCAUCAACUGAAAUAAGGAACAGGGGGGAAAAAAGUACUACUUUUAAUUGUAGCUGCCUUUUUUUUUUUGCCUCUUUCAGGAUUUUGCGUAUCAUUUUACCGUGUUCGUCUUCUACUUUGGAGCCUUUUUACUGGAGGCAGCAGCCACAUCCCUGCAUGACCUGCAUUGCAAUGUGACCACGGCUGUGCAGCCACUCUUGAGUGAUAACCAGUAUAACAUAAACGUAGCAGCCACAGUGAGUGUCGAGGAGUCCCGGUUACCAGCACCCGCCCCUGCCCUGCGUUCGCUGUCAUGGUCUCCCAGAAGCUCCUCAGGCAGCAGUAGUUUUCUCUAAUAAUAGCCAUUGGCAUUAAACAUAUACUAGCUAAGUAUCUAUGUAAUAACCUGCUGGGCAAAGUACUGCUGUUACCCCUCGUGUUGUAGACAAUGACGUUGAAGCACAGAGGCUGACGUUCGUGUACGAUGACAGCCAGUCCGUGGUUGUGGCUGGCAUGGUACAACCAAGUCUACCUUGUGAAAAGAAUUCCUUGUGCUUUUUACUUCCUGUAACUCCAGACAUGGUAAUUCAUCUUAAUUAUAAUUGUAAUUCCUUUCAAUUCAGUGAAUAUUUAUGGAGAGCCUAGCACGAGGUAGGUAAUUUGCUGGGUUUUGGGGACAGGGAUGAACAAGGUGCAGUUCCUGCCACUGGGGAAAGUCCCCGUGAGUGAGGGGGUGAAUACGCCAGCCAGUACGAUAGAUGACAGAUGAAAUACGUGCCGUGGAGAAAUAUUUUGAUUUUUUUUUAUCUUCCUUAAUUCAUAAUACUUAAGUGAGUUUGUUGUUUUGUGUUGAUAUGGGGAAUUUGAAGACAUAUUAUUUCUGUUUUUAUAAUCUUGAAAAUGCCAGAAAUCCAACUUACUCCCUGAAAUGUGCCGAUAUUUAAUAUGACUAUAUAGCAAGUUAGUGACGCUCAAGUUUUACUCUUCUAUGCAGACAGCACAUACAGACAUCCCAGGACUCCCCAUGUGGUCAUUAAAAUCUCUCUGGAGCAGCGCUGUCCAGCAGCACUUACUAAAAUGGUAGAAAUGUUCUGUGUAUGCACUAUUUGAUAUAGUGGCCACUAAUUAAUCCAAUUAAUCCAUUCAUUUUAAUUAAUUUACACUUCAAUUUGAACAGCCACAUGUGGCUGUGGCCGUCCUAUUGAACAGCACAGGUCUAGAGUCUGGGUUUCAAAGGGGAGAGCUGUGAUGAUUCUAAGACCUCCUAUCAUCCCUGGGUUCUCAAGCCUCUGUUACAAUUUGUCAGAAUUCAUUGAGCAUCUCCAAUGAUUAGACUGAUUAUAGAUUGCAGCAGAAAGGAGCAUGGCUCCAGCUUUGACAGGCUUAUAGUUUAGAUCAGUGUUUUUAUACUUUCUUUUAUAGGAAAUGAAACUGUCUCAUUUAAUGAAACCUUACUGAAAACCCAAUGAAUAUAGAAGGCAAGAGCACAGAUGCUCUAGUUGGAUUGGGAGAACACGUCCUUCCUUGUCUUAAGCCACCUCUGUCGGCCUCAUCAUCUCUGAGGCACUUUCGUGAGAUCCUUAUUACCAAAGACCACAGCUAGAAAGCCACUGGACUUUUAACAAUUUUAUGAAGUGAAGAAAAGUUCAGGGCCUUGGAGUUGACUUUUUUCCUACCAGGUGUCCUUCCUAUUCGUCCUCAAUUCUCACAGAAUUUUCCUUUACUACUUCCGUCCCCUCCUUUUUAGUGCUGCAGGCUGUCUUCGCACUACCUGCCAGAUCCUUGUACUAGCACCGAAUUGGUCUAUUUAUAGUUGCCUUAAGAUCCUACUUUCAUAAGAGUAGCAGGUGCUCAAGGACUUGAUGAUCCAUGUCAUUAAUUUCUCACUAACGUUCCUUUGUCCCAGGAGCCCAGUUUUCAGUGUUGCCAUGUUGUGAUUCCAUUGUGGCUGACGCUCUUCUGUGACUUUGUCCCUGUUAUCCUUCCCUUUCUCUGUGCCUAAGGGAAACUGCCUUAGUAAACCUCUACAUGCUUUCCUUCUACAUUACAUAGCAGCGCAUCCAUAUGUUCUCAUAGGAGUAAACCUUUAGUUUCUGAGUUUUAAUCAUACCUAAAUGUAUGAUUUGUUCUUUUGUAACACUAUAUUGAGUCCCUCACUUUAUUUUUUAUUUCAAUAUACCUGAGAGAGGAAAAUUCGUUUUUGUUAACAAUAGAUAUCAACAGUGGUCAUUCUCCUUCAGUAGACGAUGUCUAGAUUAGAGAUGCAUCAGAGAGACAACCAGCAGAAGGCGGCUGGGGAGAAUAGCAGAAUGGCAAUUAGAGAAUGGUCACGUUCUGUAGGUGAAUCCGAUAUUCCCUCUCAGAGCUGGAGUUUUCUGGUAAAGGAUUGCUGCACUAAGUCUUAAUGUUUUAUCACAUUUAAUUGCUUUGUCUUAUAGUUUUCUAUGGAUCAUGAAUUCAAAAAGGAUGAGGAGAAUAGCUACGGUUUGUUUAUAUGCACGAAAUGCACUGAUGUACACGUAGCUGUUGCUAAAGAAAUCCUUGUCAAAUAGUAAGGACAGUAAUUCAGAGUUCAGUGCGGGUUUCAGAAGUAUCUCCCACGCCAAAUGAAUCUGUUGAUUCAUUUCUAUGUGUUUUCUUUGAUUACUUCUAAAAUCCCUUUCCACUGUCACCGGUAGGAUUUUAUAUAUCCUCCAGUUCUCAUACUUGCACUUUUCUUGGCCAUGAGAUCACUGUAUGAAUAGACACCUCGCAGCGAAUUUUUGAAUACGGUAUUGAGAGUUUCAUAAAUACUUAACAAGUGAGUCCAGCGUGUGAACAAACGUUAAAGCUAGGCCUGUCCACAAACGAAAACAUUAUUAGGGGCUAGAAUGUUGAAAGGAAGGGUUAAUGAUGUGAGGGGAUUAGAUGGUAGUACAAUCAUCAAAAAGAUGAAUGAAUAUAAACCAUUUCCGUAAGUGUUGAAGUAUCUUUAGGUACUUCAGUCUUCAGAUAAGUUGUUCCUUGGAAUGAGUGGGUUUUUCUAAAAUUAAAGUCAGUGUUAUAAAUCUGAUGUGAGCUUUUGUUUCCUUUUUCUUAGAUUUUUGCCUUUGUGACGACAGCCUGUUAUGGUUGCAGUUUGGGUCUGGCGUUGCGAAGAUGGCGACCGUGACACUCCUGAGAAACUAACAGUCUAUGUGUUGGUUUCAUUUG